AUUUAAAUAGACAUUUCUCAAAAGAAGACACACAGAUCACCCUGACAUUUAAAAAAAUUCCUGGACCUCACCCAGCCAGGUUCUCCAAUGUGAGCACCUUCAGAGUCACCGGCAGGGCUUGAGAAGGCCCCCGAAUUUGCAUUUCCAGUGGUUCCUGGGUGACACCGACACGGCUGGUCUGGGGGUCAUGUUUUGAGAACAUCACCUUCUCCAGAGAAGAGACCUGGAAGUGAGUCUUAUAAAGCCACAUACAAGAUUGUGUCACACACACACCUGCCUGGGGCCUUGGGGGCUGGAGUAGAAGGCGCAGAGGCUGCUCCAAAAGGAGGAGGCCAGAGGGCACUUCUGCAGGGGGGCUGCAGCACCCACACCAGGAGGGCAGCAGAGUGUUUGCAAACAAGCCACCCAUCCAGACUGCAGCCUGGGGAGGAGGGAGGGGGCCUCUCCAGGCCUCAGGCCGCUGUGCCCACGGUAGGCUGGUGGUGUGAGCCGUCGUCCAUCCAUGAUGGUGAAGAAAGCCUCUCCAGCUCUAAGGCCACCUCCUGUCACCCAGGCAUGGGAGAAAGUGGCUGACGCUGAAGACCCCAGCCCCCUCACCAAGGGAACCCCCAGCCCCAGCCCCUUCUGGAAGGCAUGGACUGCCUGGAGCCCAGCCCGGUCAGCCAGCUGAGCUAAGAGGAUCUGGACCCUCAAUGCUCAGAACGGAGAGUGGCAGACAAGGGGCCUGGUCUGGAAAACUGAUCCCCAGCAAAGCCUCCUGCUGAGUGACGUCUUCGUGCAGGUCCCGCUGGUGACCGUGGCCCAUGGGAUGUCUCUGACCUGCAGCAGCGUCACUCACCCCUCUGAGCAAGCUCUGGGAGGCAGCGUCCCUGUGGAUCUGGCAUCUGUAGAGACUGCACCAUGAACAGCCUUCACUCAGGAGGCAGGUGAUGGCCAGGACUCCCUGAGACAGGGGACGCAGAAGGAAGGGGCAGCGGGCUGUGCCCUGGGGGGAUCACACUCCCCUGCUCGCAGCUCAGGGGAGCUGGGGGUGGGUGCUGGAUCCCCUGAGGCAGCAGGAGACCCCUGCCUUCAGCUCAGAGUGAGCCUCCCCUUUGUCCUGCCUCCCAUCAGCUUGAAGCUGCCUCAGUUUCCCUCCCUCCUGGCCCUCAUGAACCUCCUGGUGGGUCCAGGGCUUUGGCCAGCAGAGCUAGUGCAUGAAGUGUGGAGAUGCGGGAUGGCAUUGCCCCCGGCAGGGACCCCGCGAGCCUGCAUGCACGCUGUGCAGACUGAUGAGCCGUCCACGGCACUGACUCAAACCAUCCAGAGGGGAGUGGGGGAUGCCCACAGGUGGGGACACUGAGGCACCGAGAAGGGACCGACCCAGGGUCCUGCUUAAAGAGAGACAUCAGGAGACGCCUGGCACAGACAAGACUUAUUUUUCCGGGUGCCUCCCACUAAGCCCUGCUAUAAAUCCAGGAAACUGCACGUGCAGUGGACAGAAAAUUCCAAAGCAUGCAAGUGGUCAGGGCCCAGGUGGGAGAGACGGCCGGGUGACAGGAAGGAAGAGAGCCAGGCUGGGCAUUUCCUGACUCCCAGCCUAGCAAGAGAAGGCAGCUGGGGGGUGGGAGCCAUUCCCCUGCCAGGUGCAACAGGGGCCUUGAGCAGGGGGCUCGGCACAGCAAACCACGCCCAGAAAGCCCCUUGGUCCCUGUGGGCCUGAGACCCUCCUCCCCACCAAGAAGUACGGGUGGCAUCGGUAGGGGAAUGCCACAGCAUGCUGGCUCAGCACAGGAAGCGACCAUCGGGUAGAAACUUCCUUCCCCACCUAGAGCUGCCACAUGGCCGGGGAAAUCCCCGGCCCCUCAGGAAGCACCAGUGGAAACUCUGCCAGCACCAGAUCAACCAAGGAUACCCAGACGGCACCACCCAUCCCAAAGAGUAAAAAUGUCAGGAACCACAGUUCAUGACACCAGCCAGGACCUGGUGCCAACCUACAGGGCGGUGGCCUAGGAAAAUAAAGUACAUCCACAGGACUCAGAGUCUCUAAGCAGGGCCAAAAUGCCCAGGAUACAAGCAAAAGCUGCUCAUCACAGCAAAAGCUGGAGGACACACACGUGAAUGAGAAAAGACAAUGAAUGACACCAGUGCCAGGACCAGCUCGAGGCUGAGGACACGACCAGGAGGCCAGGGUUGUCACCACAGGGCACCAUGACAAAGCAAUGCACUCUCCAGAAACAAAUGAAGUAGAAGACCUCAGCAAAGACACAGAAGUUAUCAGAAAGAACCAAAGGGAAUACACAGAGCUAACAACUACAAACACAGAAACAAAACUCUCCGGAUGUACUCAGUAGUAAAGUGAAGAUGGCAGAGGACACAGCCAGUGAACCUGAGGACACAGCAGUAGAAUGGGCCCAAUAAGAACCAUAGAGAGAGAAAGGGAGGGAGGAAGGGAGGAGGGAGGAAGGAAGGGAGGAAGAGAGGGAGGGAGAAAGGAGAGGAAAAAGGGAGAAGUGAGGGAGGGAGGGAAGGAGGAGGGAACAGAGGAAGAAAAAACGAACAGAGCUUCAGGAACCAGUAGAACAAUAACCAAAGACCCACCCGAUUUUCAGGAAGAGAACAGGACUGACUGAGGAUUUGAAUAAGUAAUAAUGGAAUACUUCUCAAAUGUGGUGAAAAACAUAAACUCACAGAAUGAGUGAAAAUAAAAAUACAUCAAAAUGUGUGGUAUGAAGCAGAGCUUAGAGGGAAAUUUAUAGUACCAAAUACUUAAUAUUAGAAAAAGAGAAAGCAUCUCAAAUCAAUCAUCUAAGUUUUGGCCUCAGGAAACUAGAGAAAGAAGAACAGAUUAAAUGAGAAGUGGGAAGAAGGAAGGAAAUGAUAAAGGACAGAAAUUAAUGAAAUUGAAAACAAGAAAACAACAGAGAAAAUCAAUCAACAUAAAUUGGUUCUUUUGAAAAUCUGUAAAAUUGAUAAACCACUAGCAAGACUGACAAAAAUAAAAAGAAGACGCAAAUCACCAAUGUCAGAGAUAAAACAGGGGAUAUCACUACAAAUCCUGUGGUCAUUAAAAGGAUCAUAAGAAAAUACUAUGAAUAACUUUACACUCAUGAGUUUGACAACUUAGAAGAAAUGGACCAAUUCUUUAAAAACAUAAGCCAUCAAAACUCAACCAAGAUGAAAUAGAUCAUUUGAAUAGUCUUAGAACCAUCACAGCAGUUGAAUUCAUAAUUUAAAAGUUCCCCAAAAAGAAAUCUCUCAGAUCAGAUGGUUUUACUGGAGAAUCUUACCAAACAUUUAAAGGAGCAACACCAAUUUUACACAAUUUCUUCCAGAACACAGAAGAGGAAGGAACACUUUCCCACUUAUUUUGUGAAACUGGCUCUAUCCUGACACCAAAUUAAAGACUAGUUUUAAAAUCCUACUACAGACCAGUGUCUCUCCUGAACAUAGAGGCAAAAAUCCUCCACUAAAUACAAGCAAAUAUAAUCCAACAAUGUAUAAAAAUAAUUAUACACCAAGAACAAGUGAGACUCAUACCAAAUACGUGAGAUUGACUGAGCACUGAAAAAUCAGAUGAUGCAACCCAUCAGAUUAACAGGCUAAAGAAGAGGAAAAUGAUAUAACUUUAUCAAUCUAUGCAGAAAAUAUAUUUGAGAUUGGCUGAGCAUUGAAAAAUCAGAUGGUGCGAUCCAUCAGAUUAACAGGUUAAAAAAAGAGGAAAAUGAUAUAAUCUUAUCAAUCUAUGCAGAAAAUGUAUUUGGCAUAAUUCAACACACAUUCUUAAUAAAAAUUAUUGGCAAAUUAGAAGUAGCAGGGAACUUCCAUAACUUGCUAACAAGCAUCUACAAAAUCCCUGCAGCUAACCUCACUUAAUAUAAAAGGCCAAAUGCUCUUCCCUGAGAUCAGGAGCAAGACAAGGAUAUUCAUUCCCACCACUUUCAUUCAACACGCUGGAAGUUCUAUUCACUGCACUAAGGUAAGAAAAAUAAAUAAAAGGCACACGGAUUGGAAAGGAAGAAAUAAAAUGAUCUCUGUUUAUCAAGGGCAUUAUUAUUCACAUGGACCAUCCCAACAAAUGUACAAAAAACAAAAAACUAAUUAGUGAGUUCAGUGCAAUCACAGGAUACAAGAUCGACAUUCAAAAAAUCAAUCACAUUUCCAUAGACUAACAAUGAAAAUGUGGAAACAAAAUUUUAAAAUGUAUUAUCAUUUACAAGCACUCCAAGAAUAAUGAAAUGCUUAGACAUAAACUUGAUAAAAUAUGUCUAGUACUUGUAGGCUGAAAAUUACAAAAUGCUGAUGAAAGGACCAAAAAAGACCUAAACAAAUGAAGAAAGAUAUACCAUGUUCAUGGAUUGGAAGACUCAACAUAGUGUCACCUACCAUGAGACUGAUCUAUUGAUUUAAUGAAAUCUCUAUCUAAAUCCCCCAAGUCUCUUUGUAAAUAUAGACAAGCUUAUUCUAAAAUUUAUAUGGAAAGGCACAGGCUCCAGCUAAACAAUCUUGGAAAAAGCAUGAAGAGCUACUCUGCUGGGUAUAAAAGAUUACUGUCUUCACCAAGUCCGUAUCAAAAGAGGUUUGGACACAUAGAUGAAUGGAACAGCAGGGAACUCAGACAUAGACCCACACAAAUAUGCCCUGCUGGUUUCCAACAGAGGUGCAAACAUAAUUCCGUGGAGGAUGGGUGGCCUUUCAACAAAUGGUGUUGGAGCAAUUGGACAUCCAUAGGCAAAAAAUGAGUAUCCACCAAAACCUCACACCUUAUACAAAAUGCAAACAAACAAACAAACAAAAAACCUGUUAUAUUGAAACCAAAGUUUGAAAACUCGACACCAAAGGAAAAAUUCGUAAAUUGCACUUCAUCAAAAUUAAAGACCUUUACUCUGCAAAAGACCUUAUAGAUGAAAAGGUAAAUGCAGACUGAGGGGAAAUGUUUGCAAACCAUAUUUCUAAAUAAGAACUAGAAUCUCAUAUAUAUAAAGAAUACUUAAGAACUCUCAGCCAGGCGCGAUGGCUCACGCCUGUAAUCCCAGCACUUUGGGAGGCUGAGGCGAGUGAAUCACGAGGUCAGGAGAUCAAGACCAUCCUGGCUAACACAGCGAAACCCCGUCUCUACUAAAAAUACAAAAAAAUUAGCCAGGUGUGGUGGUGGGCACCUGUAGUCCCAGCUUCUCGGGAGGCUGAGGCAGGAGAAUGGUAUAAGCCCAGGAGGAGGAGAUUGCAGAGAGCCGAGAUCACGCCACUGCACUCCAGCCUGAGCUACAAAGCAAGACUCCAUCUCAGAAAAAAAAAAAAAGAUUGCUAAACGUGAACUACCAUAUCACCCAGCAAUUGCACUCUUGGGCAUUUAUCCAGAGAAAUGGAAACUUAUGUUCACACUAAAACCUGGACUUGGAAAUUUAUAUCAGUUUUAUUCAUAAUAGCCAAAAACUAGAAACAGCCUAGAUUUCCUUCAGCAGACGAGUGGCUGAGUAAACUGGGUGCAUCCACGUCACGGGAUGUGGCUCCACAAAGAAAUGGAAGAAACUAGAACUCUGAUGACUCUCUAGGGAAUUUUGCUGAGUUAAAACAACCCCAAAAGGUCUCAUACUAUGUGAUUCUCUGUAUAUAACAUUCUGGAAAUGACGAAAUUGUGGAAAUGGAGAACAGGUGAGUGGUUGCUUGCGUUUCCAGAGAGAGAGAGGGGUGUGGUUAUUAAAAGGCAGUGGGGUUCUCAUGCUGACGCGUGUCUGCCUCUUGACUGCAGUGGGGGCUCAACCACCUGCACCUGUGAUCAAUUGCAUGGGGCUAAACACACACGUGUGUGGUACACCUGACAUGGCUUAAAUGCUUGUCCUCAAAAAUCUCAUAUUGAAAACUGAUCCCCCGUGUUGGAAGUAGAGCCUGCUGGGAGGUGUUGGAUCAUAAAAGUGAGUCCCUCUCAAAUGGCCCAGCACCAUCCCCUUGGUGACGAGUUCCUGCUCAGUUAGUUCAUGCAAGGAUCUGGUUGUGUAAAAGUCUGAGACCAGACCGGCACAGUGGCUCAUGCCUGUAAUCCCAACAUUUUGGGAGGCCAAGGCGGGCAGAUCAUCUGAGGUCAGGAGUUCGAGACCAGCCUGGCCAACGUGGUGAAACCCCGUCUCUACUAGAAACACACACAAAAAAUUAGCCGGGCGUGGUGGCGGGUGCCUGUAGUCCCGGCUACUCGGGAGGCUGAGGCAGGAGAAUUGCUUGAACCCGGGAGGCGGAGGUUGCAGUGAGCCGAGAUUGAGCAAUUGAACUCCAGCCUGGGUGACAACAGUGAAACUGUCUCAAAAAAACACAAAAUGUCUGGGGCCUCCCCAUUGUCUGUCUCCUGCUCUGGAUCUGCCUUCAACCUUCCGCCAGGUUGGAGCUCCCUUAGGCUCUCACCAGAAGCGGAUGCCAGCGUCAUCUUUCCCGUGCAGCCUGCAGAAACAUUAGCCAAAUAAACCUCUUAUAAACCACCCAGCCUCAGGCAGUCCUUUCUAGCAACACGAGAAUGGCCUCACACAACACACAAAUGAGAGACUCAAACAGUGCAAGGUUCUGGUCGUGGGGCAGCGCUACAGACGCCACGGGAGGCUGAGGGAAUCAGGAGUGCCCCCUUCACCCUUUUUCUAUUCUUUCUUACGGCUGAAUAUGGGUCUACAAUGAUCCCAAAAGUUGAAAAAUGUAUUUCAAA
rnacentral:lncRNA from 1 species